CGGCACUAGAUGUAUGCUCGUGCUCGCUGUCGCCGCAGGGGAAUCCGGUGCGAAUCCGGAACUGUCCCGCAACGGUGUACUCGCGUGCGUUCGCACGCCCGUGUCAGUCCGAGGACCUGCCGGCAGCGCGCGCCCGGC
rnacentral:ncRNA from 1 species